rnacentral:rRNA from 1 species
UACGUAGGUGGCAAGCGUUGUCCGGAUUUAUUGGGUUUAAAGGGUGCGUAGGCGGCCCUAUAAGUCAGUGCUGAAAUAUCCCGGCUUAACCGGGAGGGUGGCAUUGAUACUGUAGGGCUUGAGUAAAGUUGAGGUUGGCGGAAUUGACGGUGUAGCGGUGAAAUGCUUAGAUAUCGUCAAGAACACCUAUUGCGAAGGCAGCUAACUAAGCUUUAACUGACGCUGAGGCACGAAAGCGUGGGGAGCAAAC